rnacentral:rRNA from 1 species
UACGUAGGUGGCAAGCGUUGUCCGGCAUUAUUGGGCGUAAAGCGCGCGCAGGCGGUCCCUUAAGUCUGAUGUGAAAGCCCACGGCUCAACCGUGGAGGGUCAUUGGAAACUGGGGGACUUGAGUACAGAAGAGGAAAGCGGAAUUCCACGUGUAGCGGUGAAAUGCGUAGAGAUGUGGAGGAACACCAGUGGCGAAGGCGGCUUUCUGGUCUGUAACUGACGCUGAGGCGCGAAAGCGUGGGGAGCAAACAGG